GCUGAUUGAACCAUUAGUUGUUCUCCCUUUUCAUUACAGUGGCCGGGUCUGGCUGUUAGGCUGACUAGAUUGAAGAUGUAUAUAAAUACCAAAAUGUAACCAAAGCCAACACCAUAUCAUUGGAAGCAUAGACUAACUAAUGAGACCUCCAUACUAGUCAGUUUUUCCACUAUAGAUUCCAAACCCUCAGUGCAGAUAAAGGAAACAUUAAGAAACAAGGCAACAAGAUACCUCCAAAAAUUCUAAACACUGUAAAAGCUGAUCUCACGGGUACUGAUGGACAGCAAGCUGUGGCAACUAGCAAUAGAUAACUGGUACUUGGUAACUAGCUGUGGGUAACUAGUUGUGAGCACCAGUUACAGGUAUUUAGCAUUGGCUAACUAGUUAUGGGUAACUAGUAAUGGUUAACUAGUUGCAGAUGAUGGCACUGUCCCUUGCCAAAGACUGUUCCAGCCACUAGAAACCAGGAACCCAACCAGAUGCACUAAAGCCCCUGCCCCGGGGGAGCCUGCAGUCCAACAGCAACCACCAAAGGAGCAAGUUAAGGAACGUGCAGAGAAAGAACACAGAGUCGGGAAUCUGAAGCUACUUGAGUUCUGAGCAGCUGGGCCAGUGAGUGGAUGAAAUGCUGAUGGGCAGGGGAAGCCAUGUCAGCCCUGUGUCUCCACAGCAAGCUGCCUAAGGAAAUUUGUCUGAGGAUGAAGCCAGCAACUGAAAACAAAUUAGAGAUGGAGGGACCGAGUCCGGGAUGUUGCUUGAGCCCUGUGUGCAGGACUGCGGAAGCCAGCUCUAGCCCCUUUGCAAGUCUUGCUUAUUGACUCUU
rnacentral:lncRNA from 1 species